AUUGAACGCUGGCGGCAGGCCUAACACAUGCAAGUCGAGCGGUAACACAGAGAGCUUGCUCUCGGGUGACGAGCGGCGGACGGGUGAGUAAUGUCUGGGAAACUGCCUGAUGGAGGGGGGAUAACUACUGGAAACGGUAGCUAAUACCGCAUAAUGUCGCAAGACCAAAGAGGGGGACCGUUAGGGCCUCUUGCCAUCGGAUGUGCCCAGAUGGGAUUAG
rnacentral:rRNA from 1 species